AGAGUUUCAUCCUGGCUCAGGAUGAACGCUGGCGGCGUGCCUAACACAUGCAAGUCGAACGAAGCAGGGGGGCGGAAUCUCUCCGGAGGGGAAGCCCCCCUGACUGAGUGGCGGACGGGUGAAUAACGCGUGGACAACCUACCCCGCACUGGGGGACAACAGCCGGAAACGGCUGCUAAUACCGCAUAUGCGCACGGCCCCGCAUGGGGCCGCGCGGAAAGCGCAUGCGGUGCGGGAUGGGUCCGCGUCUGAUUAGCUUGUUGGCGGGGUAACGGCCCACCAAGGCGACGAUCAGUAGCCGGCUUGAGAGAGUGGACGGCCACAUUGGGACUGAGACACGGCCCAGACUCCUGCGGGAGGCAGCAGUGGGGAAUAUUGCACAAUGGGGGGAACCCUGAUGCAGCAAUGCCGCGUGGGUGAAGAAGCACUCCGGUGCGUAAAGCCCUGUCAGCAGGGAAGAAAAUGACGGUACCUGACCAAGAAGCCCCGGCUAAAUACGUGCCAGCAGCCGCGGUAAUACGUAUGGGGCAAGCGUUAUCCGGAUUUACUGGGUGUAAAGGGAGCGUAGGCGGCAGGGCAAGCCUGAUGUGAAAGCCCGGGGCUCAACCCCGGGACUGCAUUGGGAACUGCCCCGCUCGAGUGCCGGAGGGGCAGGCGGAAUUCCUAGUGUAGCGGUGAAAUGCGUAGAUAUUAGGAGGAACACCAGUGGAGAAGGCGGCCUGCUGGACGGUGUACUGACGCUGAGGCUCGAAAGCGUGGGGAGCAAACAGGAUUAGAUACCCUGGUAGUCCACGCCGUAAAC
rnacentral:rRNA from 1 species